CCCUUCUUGAAGGCACCGCCUUGGAGUCCAUGCUUCGCCAUUGUCCCGCUUCACUUCUUCUCGGUGGCUAGGUCUCGGAAGGUCCUCGUCGGCCCCAAGUGUUUGGUAGUGUGCUUGGUGGUCGAUUGGGUAGUGUUGCGGUGCAUCGGCACCCUUUUAUCUUGCCUUGGGUGUGUGUGUUGUGUGGGUGGUUGCGUGUUGUAUCCGGAUUUGUACUUCUGGUCGUUGCUUUAUCUAUAAAGCGGGGCGAAAGCCUUUUUCGGUAUGAAACGGCUCACUGAUUGACUCUUUGACUCUGUCUAAUAAUUUUUUUUGUUUUGUAAGCAACUGAAUUGUAUUUUCUGAUAAAUACUAGCCACUUAUUUAUUUUUCUUUUUAUCAUAUAUGGUUAAAAAUUGUUUUUUUUUCUUUGCAGCUUCAAGCCUUUAGUUCAAUCAAAUCUUUGCUUAGGUUAUGUAAUUGCCUGUCGUUCUAAAAAUUGCUAAGCAAUCGAUUUCUCUCUCUGUCCUUUUCAAUGUAGGGUGGUACCGAGUACAGCAUGUGGAGUGACUACCAUAGCUACCUUCAUAGCUAUGAUAUUGAACGAGAGUAUCUCAAGUACUGCGAGGAAUUAUCCAAGCGACUGAAGUGGAUGGAAGAUUAUGUCGAUAUUUGCCGCUCAUCCGUCAAAGUAAGUAUGGCCUUACAAAAUUCUUGGAAUGACACUGUUAAUUAUUUGUAUAUCUUGUAACACCCUCAUAACUUUGUUGUUGUUCAGUGGGGUAAAAUAUCUUCCCGAGGAGCAUUUCAAGCAAUUAAGAUUGCUGCUACUAGCUUUCCCAAGAUCACUCCUACUUUAGCUUACAAUGGCUUUGAUGUAGGAUCUUUCACACACAUGAAUUUAAUGUAGCUUACAAUGGCCUAUAUUGUAUCUGACAGUUGCAUUCACUUGAUUUAGGAGUAUAAAGAGCGCAUUUGCUAUUAUCAUACUUGGUUUAAGGAGUAUGAUCGUUUGUACUUUGAGAUUUGGCGGCGGGUCACAAAGGGAACGGUUAGUGUGUUAUGCGCAACUAAGCAACUACUCAAUGAUGGUUCAUUGUUUCGAAUACACUGUAUAUGUUUAGCAAUGCACGACCUUUCCCUUGAAUAAUGUUCAACAGAGUUUCUGAAAGGCUAUGGAGGACGUUUGUAAGAUGAACAAGUUUCCGGUACGACAAGGUUUAAUGCAAACUGCGCUGGACCAUGAGUACACCAUGACGUUGCUGGAAGAGGACUUCCAUACCUGCACGGCAGCCAUUCGCCCUGGAGUUAAAGAGGAUAAAGCUAAGGAGUUGAUUGCAGACGGAGUUAAAAAGCUGGUACUGCAAUUUGUGAAUUCACCUCUGCAUUAUUCAUGGAGUUAAAUACACUAGGGGUGCCUCAACUUGUUUGGUACGGUCAGUUUGGUGCCUAAAGUUGUAAAAUACAUGGAACUGAUGCUCGAACUUGUCUGGUUGUGCAAAUACGGUGCUUCCUUCCGUAUCCAGACGUAUGCUAUGCCGGCAUGGAGUGACAGCGUGGCGGUGGCCCACAUGUAAGUGGCUGAGAGCAGGGGAGGAGCUGGGUAGCCUACGCGUGAGGAGUCGCCUCAUAUUUUAUUUAAUCACGUAUGAAAGCCAAUAGUAAAAAUAAAUUGCAUGAUUUAGAAUCCAUGCUGAGAUCUCACAGUCGCAGAUUGUAUUGUACGCAUAAGCUAUCCACCAUGCCAAAAUAUGCACAGUGGACUUUCAUAAAGUCGAAUUAUAUAUACGGUGUUGCUGUGCAAAAGGUAACAUUGGAGCACGGGCAUAUUGUGCCAGUUUCUCUUAAGUUCAGAGAAUUGGAUUUUUACAACUAAAAAAAAUUCCAAAAUCUUUUAUACGUGCACACAUAGAAGUGUAAUAUAUUGUGCGAAUUUUCAUCAAAAUUCGCGUUUGUAUG